AGGCCUACACAUGCAAGUCGAGCGGUAGAGAGAAGCUUGCUUCUCUUGAGAGCGGCGGACGGGUGAGUAAUGCCUAGGAAUCUGCCUAGUGGUGGGGGAUAACGUUCGGAAACGGACGCUAAUACCGCAUACGUCCUACGGGAGAAAGCGGGGGAUCUUCGGACCUCGCGCCAUUAGAUGAGCCUAGGUCGGAUUAGCUAGUUGGUGAGGUAAUGGCUCACCAAGGCGACGAUCCGUAACUGGUCUGAGAGGAUGAUCAGUCACACUGGAACUGAGACACGGUCCAGACUCCUACGGGAGGCAGCAGUGGGGAAUAUUGGACAAUGGGCGAAAGCCUGAUCCAGCCAUGCCGCGUGUGUGAAGAAGGUCUUCGGAUUGUAAAGCACUUUAAGUUGGGAGGAAGGG
rnacentral:rRNA from 1 species